GGUCCCGCCUGCCCUGUGACCCCUGGUUCAACGGCCGCGGUAUUUUGACCGUGCAAAGGUAGCGCAAUCACUUGUCCCUCAAAUGAGGACCCGUAUGAAUGGCACAACGAGGGCUUAACUGUCUCCUUUCCCCAGUCAAUGAAAUUGAUCUUCCCGUGCAGAAGCGGGGAUACUAACAUAAGACGAGAAGACCCUAUGGAGCUUUAGACUUUAGAACAGACCAUAUCAGCUACUCCCUUAAACAAGUAGUAACCAUUGUUCUCCUGUUCCCCUGUCUUUGGUUGGGGCGACCACGGGGAAAAGAAAAACCCCCACGUGGACUGGGAGCACCUUACUCCUACAACUAUGAGCCACAGCUCUAAUGCGCAGAACUUCUGACCAUAAGAUCCGGCAAAGCCGAUCAACGGACCGAGUUACCCUAGGGAUAACAGCGCAAUCCCCUUUAAGAGUCCAUAUCGACAAGGGGGUUUACGACCUCGAUGUUGGAUCAAGACAUCCUAAUGGUGCAGCCGCUAUUAAGGGUUCGUUUGUUCAACGAUUAAAGUCUU
rnacentral:rRNA from 1 species